UAAUACGUAGGGGCCAAGCGUUAUCCGGAUUUACUGGGCGUAAAGCGCAUGUAGGCGGUCGAUCAAGUCGGAUGUGAAAGCUCCUGGCUUAACUGGGAGAGGUCAUUCGAAACUAGUCGGCUGGAGGGUGGUAGAGGAGAGCGGAAUUCCAGGUGUAGCGGUGAAAUGCGUAGAUAUCUGGAGGAACACCAGUGGCGAAAGCGGCUCUCUGGACCAUUCCUGACGCUGAGAUGCGAAAGCCAGGGGAGAGAACGGGAUUAGAAACCCCGGUAUUCCUGGCCGUAAACGAUGUCAACUAGGCGUAGGAGGUUAUAAACCCCUUCUGUGCUGUAGCAAACGCGUUAAGUUGACCGCCUGGGGACUACGGCCGCAAGGCUAAAACUUAAAGGAAUUGACGG
rnacentral:rRNA from 1 species